rnacentral:rRNA from 1 species
UGCUCGCAAAUAAUAAAACCCGAACCCUGAAGGCGCAAUGAAAGUGAAGGUCGGUGGUCUGACUGACAGAGGCGGGAUCCGUCCGGGCAUCGAUCGCGGUCGCAAGGCCGCGGCGAGCCCGGCGGCGCACCGUCGGCCCGUCUCGAUNNNNNNNNGUCGGCGAGGCGGAGCAAGAGCGCACACGUUGGGACCCGAAAGAUGGUGAACUAUGCUCGGGCAGGACGAAGCCAGAGGAAACUCUGGUGGAGGUCCGUAGCGAUUCUGACGUGCAAAUCGAUCGUCGGACCCGAGUAUAGG